rnacentral:rRNA from 1 species
UACGUAGGGGGCAAGCGUUGUCCGGAUUUAUUGGGCGUAAAGAGCGUGUAGGCGGCUUUGCAAGUCCGUUGUGAAAACUCGAGGCUCAACCUCGAGACGCCGGUGGAAACUGCAAAGCUAGAGUCCGGAAGAGGAGAGUGGAAUUCCUGGUGUAGCGGUGAAAUGCGCAGAUAUCAGGAAGAACACCCGUGGCGAAGGCGGCUCGCUGGGCCAUUCCUGACGCUGAGACGCGAAAGCUAGGGGAGCGAACAGG